UGGUGAAGAAGUUGCUUUAUGCGAGAUUUUUCUCCCGGGCUGUUGACAUAGGGAACCUUGUCCUCGGGCAGGCAGCUGUAGUACUGGUGCACCUAGGGAGCAAGAGAGGGGACUGCAGUGGGGUUCCCUGGCCGAGCCCGUGCCCCUGCGCCCGGCCAGCAGCCACCCCCUGAGGCAGCGAGCGCUGGGUCUUUCCCAAGACUCUGAGCAGAGAAACACAGCCAGGAGCUGCUCCAGGCAGAGGAACAGCGUGCCCGGCGCUGGGAGCGCAGUGCAGCCCAGAGAGGAAGCACACCCUGAGCCCAGCAUCUCUGCUCCGACUGCCACACCUGGAUGUGCACUCGAGGGCCGGGCCAGCACCGGGAGGGGACUCGCUGGCAGAGCAUCCACUCUGAAAUAGCCACGCUGGCGUUGAACAGCUUGGGAAGAACCAGGAGAAGGUAAAGAGCCGCCAAAUUACUAAAGCAACGAGACCCAAGACGCUCACCCUGGGCAAAACCCAAGGAUGGGAGCUCUUCCUUCAGCUGCCAGGGUGCUGCUUUCCUGGAGCACAACCCAGCAGGACCUACGUGCCCAGCUCUGCUCCUGCUUCCGCUGGGAAGUUUUCCAUUAAGUCUCAGCAGGACUGCAGGAACUGGUUCCCAUCACACCAGCAGCAUAGCUUGGCAGGGAUGGGCAAUUUGGUUUGAGAAGCAAAACAAAAUAAAUACAACAGGCUCCAACCUGUGUUCUGUUGCCUGAAAUAACCUGAAAGGGUUUGCUUUGUAUCUGCAUCAGCCAAGGGGACCUUCUACAGGAGUGCUCAUGGAGAGGAUGGAGCAGAAGCAGCUGCCAAUCCUUGUCCAGUACCUGUGGAACAUCCCAUGGGGAGAAAAUCCUUACACC